rnacentral:lncRNA from 1 species
UUUACAAUGUGUGUAUUAGAUUCUUGUUUACCGCUAUUCAAUACAUCAGAGACGACUUCAAAAUACUGUGAGCCGGAGUUGAUCAUUGCCUGAGUUUGUCGACCUCUAAUAACAAAGAGUUGUGUGGUCUUGAAAUAGGUAUCAUCAACCAACGAUGACACCGUCAAAUGUCUUGUGUUUUUUAACAUGGAAUUAACAGACUCAGACAAAUUGGUAGUCAUAUGUCCC